rnacentral:rRNA from 1 species
CGGACGGGUGAGUAACGCGUGGAGAACCUGCCGUAUACUGGGGGAUAACACUUAGAAAUAGGUGCUAAUACCGCAUAAGCGCACAGCUUCGCAUGAAGCAGUGUGAAAAACUCCGGUGGUAUACGAUGGAUCCGCGUCUGAUUAGCUGGUUGGCGGGGUAAAGGCCCACCAAGGCGACGAUCAGUAGCCGGCCUGAGAGGGUGAACGGCCACAUUGGGACUGAGACACGGCCCAAACUCCUACGGAAGGCAGCAG